AACGAACGCUGGCGGCAUGCCUAACACAUGCAAGUCGAACGAUGCUUUCGGGCAUAGUGGCGCACGGGUGCGUAACGCGUGGGAAUCUGCCCUUGGGUUCGGGAUAACCGUUGGAAACGACGGCUAAUACCGGAUGAUGACGUAAGUCCAAAGAUUUAUCGCCCAGGGAUGAGCCCGCGUCCGAUUAGGUAGUUGGUGGGGUAAAGGCCUACCAAGCCGACGAUCGGUAGCUGGUCUGAGAGGAUGAUCAGCCACACUGGGACUGAGACACGGCCCAGACUCCUACGGGAGGCAGCAGUGGGGAAUAUCGGACAAUGGGCGAAAGCCUGAUCCAGCAAUGCCGCGUGAGUGAUGAAGGCCUUAGGGUUGUAAAGCUCUUUUACCCGGGAUGAUAAUGACAGUACCGGGAGAAUAAGCCCCGGCUAACUCCGUGCCAGCCGCCGCAGUAA
rnacentral:rRNA from 1 species